rnacentral:rRNA from 1 species
AACGAACGCUGGCGGCAUGCCUAACACAUGCAAGUCGAACGAUGCUUUCGGGCAUAGUGGCGCACGGGUGCGUAACGCGUGGGAAUCUGCCCUUGGGUUCGGAAUAACAGUGAGAAAUUGCUGCUAAUACCGGAUGAUGUCUUCGGACCAAAGAUUUAUCGCCCAGGGAUGAGCCCGCGUAGGAUUAGCUAGUUGGUGGGGUAAUGGCCUACCAAGGCGACGAUCCUUAGCUGGUCUGAGAGGAUGAUCAGCCACACUGGGACUGAGACACGGCCCAGACUCCUACGGGAGGCAGCAGUGGGGAAUAUUGGACAAUGGGCGCAAGCCUGAUCCAGCAAUGCCGCGUGAGUGAUGAAGGCCUUAGGGUUGUAAAGCUCUUUUACCCGGGAUGAUAAUGACAGUACCGGGAGAAUAAGCUCCGGCUAACUCCGAG